UACGGACCAGGAGACAGCAGGAUGAUGCUGACUGAUUUCCAUGGGAGUGUGUGUGUGUGUGUGGCAGAUGCCGUGUUUCUUGGGUGGGACUGGGCCUGCUGGCUGGGGCCGCCUUGGUCUGCUCAGCACAUGGCCGCUGGUGUCCCCACGAAAUGGAAAGGCCCAGGAUUAUCUCGCAGGAAGGAUGUGGAAUCUGUCCUCCCGCUCUUCCAGAAACACAGAGAUAAGCUGGUGGCUACUGGAGAGGUAAUGUGCUUUGAUUUCCGUGUAAUCAGAGUUUGAUUUGACUGUAUGCAAACUGUGUUAAAGUGCAUGUAACUCAUCGUAAUCUCUGGCUGCUUACAUUCCUAUGUACAUUCAUCUGAUAGAUGUGAAAUGAGUUGGACUUAAAUUUCAAAACUUUAUUUUCCUGGCUAAAAUCUGUGCAAGAGUAAAAUGAAAACUGCACAAUCCUGCAAGGCAGGGGGAGGGAGUGCUAUUAGGAGAUGUCUGAAAUGCUGGCUUUCAGCAAUGAAACCUCUGUAGGGAAGCUAGAGGAGAUGCUUCAGAUCCUUACUAGGAAUGUUUUUGUAUCUGACACCAUAUUUUCUUUGUUUUUAUUAUUCGUAUGUUGCUGUGUUUCCAGACAAGUUGCCUUUUGGAGGGUGCUGUUUUCUGCUCUGUUUCUCCAUUGCUAAAAGCUUCUGCUGCUCUCUUAAGAAAAAUUAAGCUAACGUAGACAUUAAAUCCGCAAAGUUUGCAGGUCAUCACAUUUUGCAGAGUCUUAACCGGUUCCGUGUGUGGGUUGGGCUGGACUUCACUCCGUGCCUCGCGUCUAUGCCUCCGCAACGUGAGGAACAACGGAGCCCUCGCCCUGCAGCUGGCUGCAGCAGAACAAGCGGGCAUCAGUCAGAAGCCUCUCACCCACGUCUCCUUCAGCCACCAGGCUUUAACUCGGCUGGCCACCUGUUUCCUUCCACCACAGCCCCACAGGCACCCUUUAAGGAAUGCCAGGGAUUGUUCUGAAGUUUGAGUUUAUCCAAAUGUUCGAUGGCUUGAGAUCGGAAAACAAUACUUGCAAGCUCUUACAUCUGGGAGGGUGGUGUCUUCGCCAGAUGAGAGCUUGAAAAGUAUUCCUUUCCAGCUGUGUGGUGCUGAGAGUGUGGGUGACUUCCCAGCCUUCCCCCCCAAGGAGACCUCAUUUUACAGUUCUUCUUCACCUUUUUCUGCUAGUACCUGCACAGUCCUUUCAGUGAUAACUGGGUUAUGCUUCCCUGAUAAGACUGCUCGGGAUUUAGACACG
rnacentral:lncRNA from 1 species